GGAUGAACGCUAGCGGCGCGCUUAACGCAUGCAAGUCGAGCGAUGAGGCUCCCUUCGGGGGGUACAUCAGCGGCAGACGGGUGAGUUACACGUAGGUAACCUGCCCUCAAGGCGGGGAUAACGCCUGGAAACGGGCGCUAAUACCGGAUAACCUUAGUUGGGGAAGCACCGGCUAAGGAAAGGCUUUGGCGCUUGAGGAGGGRCCUGCGGCCAUCAGUUAGUUGGUAGGGUAACGGCCUACCAAGGCGAAGACGGGUAGGGGGUGUGAGAGCACGGCCCCCCACACUGGGACUGAGACACGGCCCAGACUCCUACGGGAGGCAGCAGCAGGGAAUAUUGCGCAAUGGACGGAAGUCUGACGCAGCGACGCCGCGUGGAUGACGAAGGCCUUCGGGUUGUAAAAUCCUUUUCCGGGCGAUGAGGAAGGACACUAGCCUGGGAAUAAGCGUCGGCUAACUACGUGCCAGCAGCCGCGGUAAGACGUAGGACGCGAGCGUUAUCCGGAUUUACUGGGCGUAAAGCGCCUGCAGGCGGUCAGGUAAGUCGGUUGUGAAAGCCCCGUGCUCAACGCGGGGAGGCCAAGCGAUACUGCGUGACUUGAGGGCGGAAGAGGGGAGUGGAAUUCCCGGUGUAGCGGUAAAAUGCGCAGAUAUCGGGAGGAACACCAGUGGCGAAGGCGGCUCCCUGGACCGCACCUGACGCUCAGAGGCGAAAGCUAGGGGAGCGAACAGGAUUCGAUACCCUGGUAGUCAAGGG
rnacentral:rRNA from 1 species